rnacentral:misc_RNA from 1 species
GAUACUUAUCUAAUUGUAUACUAAGUAGUUUAUUUAUUUUGUUUGUUGUGUUUUUGUAGUUUUCUCUCGAAAUAGAGACUCAUUUUAUUUUAGAGCUUAUCACAAAACUACCUCUUUAUUUCCAUUU